GAGGAGCAGCAACCACGCCCCCUUAUUUAAACAAGGGGCGGAGAUAGAAUGAUUGACAGCUCCGCUCAGCCAAUCGAGUUUCGCCAAAAAGUCUAGAGGGAAGUUAGGCGUUCAUUACAGUUUUUCUCAGCUGGAGCAUUUCUCUAAUCAUCUUUAAUAUUUGCAAAACCAUCGGAGUGAAGGUGAAAAGUCACAUCGUCUCACAAACACUUCAGGAUGGAGAAGCUGCACGAGGUUCCACCAGGACAGGCAGCUCCAGAGUCAUGAUGCCUUUCGGCUCGGCCUCCACACUUUUACCCCAGAACUUCAACUUGGGGUAGAUUGAGCCGUGAAAGACAAAAUCCUUCUGCAGACCCUCGGCAUGGAAAGCACUGACUGGAG